rnacentral:rRNA from 1 species
UACGUAGGGUGCAAGCGUUGUCCGGAAUUAUUGGGCGUAAAGAGCUCGUAGGCGGUUUGUCGCGUCGGCUGUGAAAACCCGGGGCUCAACCCCGGGCCUGCAGUCGAUACGGGCAAACUAGAGUGCGGUAGGGGAGACUGGAAUUCCUGGUGUAGCGGUGAAAUGCGCAGAUAUCAGGAGGAACACCGGUGGCGAAGGGCGGGUCUCUGGGCCGUAACUGACGCUGAGGAGCGAAAGCGUGGGGAGCGAACAGG